rnacentral:rRNA from 2 species
GGACUACUGGGGUAUCUAAUCCUGUUUGCUCCCCACGCUUUCGUGCCUGAACGUCGGUGCUGGACCAGGAAGCCGCCUUCGCCACUGAUGUUCCUUCCGAUAUCUACGCAUUUCACCGCUACACCGGAAAUUCCGCUUCCCUCUUCCGCACCCAAGCUAUGCAGUUUCGAAUGCAAUUCCCAGGUUGAGCCCGGGGAUUUCACAUCCGACUUACAUAACCGUCUACGCACGCUUUACGCCCAGUAAUUCCGAUUAACGCUUGCACCCUCUGUAUUACCGCGGCUGCUGGCAC